rnacentral:tRNA from 1 species
GACUCCGUAGUGUAGCGGUUAUCACGUUCGCCUAACACGCGAAAGGUCCCCGGUUCGAACCCGGGUGGAAUCA